rnacentral:rRNA from 1 species
AGUGGGGAAUUUUGGACAAUGGGCGCAAGCCUGAUCCAGCCAUGCCGCGUGCAGGAUGAAGGCCUUCGGGUUGUAAACUGCUUUUGUACGGAACGAAAAGACUCUGGUUAAUACCUGGGGUCCAUGACGGUACCGUAAGAAUAAGCACCGGCUAACUACGUGCCAGCAGCCGCGGUAAUACGUAGGGUGCGAGCGUUAAUCGGAAUUACUGGGCGUAAAGCGUGCGCAGGCGGUUAUAUAAGACAGAUGUGAAAUCCCCGGGCUCAACCUGGGAACUGCAUUUGUGACUGUAUAGCUAGAGUACGGCAGAGGGGGAUGGAAUUCCGCGUGUAGCAGUGAAAUGCGUAGAUAUGCGGAGGAACACCGAUGGCGAAGGCAAUCCCCUGGGCCUGUACUGACGCUCAUGCACGAAAGCGUGGGGAGCAAACAGGAUUAGAUACCCUGGUAGUCCACGCCCUAAACGAUGUCAACUGGUUGUUGGGUCUUCACUGACUCAGUAACGAAGCUAACGCGUGAAGUUGACCGCCUGGGGAGUACGGCCGCAAGGUUG